UUAACUUGCGGAAGGAUCAUUG
rnacentral:rRNA from 1 species